rnacentral:rRNA from 1 species
GACGAACGCUGGCGGCGUGCCUAAUACAUGCAAGUAGAACGCUGAAGGAGGAGCUUGCUUCUCCGGAUGAGUUGCGAACGGGUGAGUAACGCGUAGGUAACCUGCCUGGUAGCGGGGGAUAACUAUUGGAAACGAUAGCUAAUACCGCAUAAUAGUAGAUGUUGCAUGACAUUUACUUAAAAGGUGCAAUUGCAUCACUACCAGAUGGACCUGCGUUGUAUUAGCUAGUUGGUGGGGUAACGGCUCACCAAGGCGACGAUACAUAGCCGACCUGAGAGGGUGAUCGGCCACACUGGGACUGAGACACGGCCCAGACUCCUACGGGAGGCAGCAGUAGGGAAUCUUCGGCAAUGGACGGAAGUCUGACCGAGCAACGCCGCGUGAGUGAAAAAGGUUUUCGGAUCGUAAAGCUCUGUUGUAAGAGAAGAACGAGUGUGAGAGUGGAAAGUUCACACUGUGACGGUAUCUUACCAGAAAGGGACGGCUAACUACGUGCCAGCAGCCGCGGUAAUACGUAGGUCCCGAGCGUUGUCCGGAUUUAUUGGGCGUAAGGCGAGCGCAGGCGGUUAGAUAAGUCUGAAGUUAAAGGCUGUGGCUUAACCAUAGUACGCUUUGGAAACUGUUUAACUUGAGUGCAAGAGGGGAGAGUGGAAUUCCAUGUGUAGCGGUGAAAUGCGUAGAUAUAUGGAGGAACACCGGUGGCGAAAGCGGCUCCCUGGCUUGUAACUGACGCUGAGGCUCGAAAGCGUGGGGAGCAAACAGG